rnacentral:tRNA from 1 species
AUCAGAAUGGCUGAAUGGUUAUGGCUUUGAACUCAAGUUCCAAUGGGCGUAAGACUGCGUGGGUUUGAAUCCUACUUCCUGUA